CAGUAAGGCAAGCGCUGUAUUUAAUAUCUGUCAGUCGAUCUAAUACAGCAACUCUCUCAGCAAGACUCUCAGCUGGACUCUGUGCUAGUAUGCAUACCUUCUGUGUGUCUUGCUAUGACUGCGUAAACGUAUCUGCAGUUAUUAAAUCAUUACUUUAACAGUUAGUGUGAAAGUAACGUGUGUCACACGGCUGAGGGAGAUGGCAGGCGCGUGAAGUCAUGUGUAUUAUUUACAGGUCGGUGUUCAGUGUUCAGCGGUCGACUUGAAAACAAAUAGAUCCAGAAUAUUAAGCAUAAACUAGAAUACACUUUUCUAGUAAAAACUAUUCUCACUGUACUACAGCUAUUUAUCUUUGUGCUGCUUUUGCUGAAAAAGGACAUGUUCUGACUGUGCAAGGCUGGCGCAAAGUCACAUCGUCACAGCGUGUCCUUAAUCGCAGGAAAAACAUCAGGGACAGACUGAUAUUCUGCAAAAGGUACAGCGAUUGGACUGCUGAGGACUGGGGUAAAGUCCUUUUCUCGGAUGAUUCCCAUUUCCGAUUGUUUGGGGCAUCCGGAAAAAAGCUUGUCCAGAGAAGACAAGGAACAGUUUGGUGACGAACAAUGUCUUUUCCAUCAUGAUGGAGCACCUUGCCAUAAGGCAAAAGUGAUAACUAAGUGGCUCGGGGAACAAAACAUCGAUAUUUUGGGUCCAUGGGCAGGAAACUCCCCAGACUUUAAUCCCAUUGAGAACUUGUGGUCAAUCCUCAAGAGGCGGGUGGACAAACAUAACCCCACAAAUUCUGACUAACUCCAAGCAUUGAUUAUGCAAGAAUGGUCUGCCAUCAGUCAGUAUGUGGCCCAGAAGUUAAUUGACAGUGUCACGUCCUGACCUUAGUUCCUUUUUAUAUCUCUAUUUUAGUUUGGUCAGGGCGUGAGUUGGGGUGGAUAUUCUAUGUUUGUUCUGUGUGUUAUAGUUCUAAGUGUUUGGCCUGGUAUGGUUCCCAAUCAGAGGCAGCUGUCAAUCGUUGUCUCUGAUUGAGAACCAUACUUAGGUAGCCUGUUCCCACCUGGUGUUUGUGGGUAGUUGUUUUUCUGUAUUUGUGUUUUCACCAUAAAAAACUGUUUCGAUUUUCAUUUCUUUCCCUCACUUUGUUAUUUUGUAUUUUUCCUGUUCUGAUAUAAUAAAUUUAACAUGGACACGUACCACGCUGCAUUUUGGUCCGAUCCUUCCUACUCCUCAUCAGACGAAGAAGAAGUUAGUUACAGACAGCAUGCCGGGGUGGAUUGCAGGGUCAACACGGCAAAUAUUGACUCUGGGCAUCAACUUCAUGUAAUUGUCAAUAAAAGCCUUUGACACUUAUGAAAUGCUGGUAAUUAUACGUCAGUAUUCCAUAGUAACGUCUAAAGACACUGAAGCAGCAGACUUUGUGAACAUUAAUAUUUGUGUCAUUCUCAACACUUUUGGCUACGACUGUUUUUUUUAAUCCAGUUACUUUCAAAGAGGGAAAAUGGGGGAUAAAAAUAUAUGUUUAUUUCCUUAUUAGAGGAGAUGAAAUAAAAGUCGAUAGCACUGUG